GGCGACUGGGCGUUUCUCAACCAAACUAUCCCCUCGCCUUUUACUAGGGGAUACCGUGGGAGACGCCACUCAAUGUCGCAUUAGCCAAUUUUUCAGCACUCAGUACCAUCUGAGCC
rnacentral:snRNA from 1 species